rnacentral:rRNA from 1 species
UACGUAGGGUGCAAGCGUUGUCCGGAAUUAUUGGGCGUAAAGAGCUCGUAGGCGGUUUGUCGCGUCUGCUGUGAAAACUCGGGGCUUAACCCCGGGCCUGCAGUGGGUACGGGCAGACUAGAGUGCGGUAGGGGAGACUGGAAUUCCUGGUGUAGCGGUGAAAUGCGCAGAUAUCAGGAGGAACACCAAUGGCGAAGGCAGCUCGCUGGGACGGUACUGACGCUGAGGCGCGAAAGCGUGGGGAGCAAACAGG